rnacentral:rRNA from 1 species
UACGUAGGGGGCAAGCGUUGUCCGGAUUUAUUGGGCGUAAAGAGCGUGUAGGCGGUCCGGUAAGUCAGCUGUGAAAGUCAAGGGCUCAACCCUUGAAAGCCGGUUGAUACUGUCGGGCUAGAGUCCGGAAGAGGCGAGUGGAAUUUCCGGUGUAGCGGUGAAAUGCGUAGAUAUCGGAAGGAACAUCAGUGGCGAAAGCGACUUCCUGGACCAAUACUGACGCUCAUGUGCGAAAGCGUGGGGAGCAAACAGG